UAAUACGUAGGGUGCAAGCGUUAAUCGGAAUUACUGGGCGUAAAGCGUGCGCAGGCGGUUUUGUAAGACAGAUGUGAAAGCCCCGGGCUCAACCUGGGAAGUGCAUUUGUGACUGCAAGACUAGAGUGUGUCAGAGGGGGGUGGAAUUCCACGUGUAGCAGUGAAAUGCGUAGAGAUGUGGAGGAACACCGAUGGCGAAGGCAGCCCCCUGGGAUAACACUGACGCUCAUGCACGAAAGCGUGGGGAGCAAACAGGAUUAGAUACCCUGGUAGUCCACGCCCUAAACGAUGUCUACUAGUUGUCGGGGAUUCGUUUCCUUGGUAACGCAGCUAACGCGUGAAGUAGACCGCCUGGGGAGUACGGCCGCAAGGUUAAAACUCAAAGGAAUCGACGGGGACCCGCACAAGCGGUGGAUGAUGUGGAUUAAUUCGAUGCAACGCGAAAAACCUUACCUACGCUUGACAUGCCAGAGACCCUGCAGAGAUGUGGGGGUGCCCGAAAGGGAAUCU
rnacentral:rRNA from 1 species